rnacentral:rRNA from 1 species
CCCUUAGAUGUUCUGGGCUGCACACGUGCUACACUGGCAGGUUCAGCGAGCUUCAUGCCCUGAUCUGAAAGGAAUGGGAAAUCUUUUCAAAACCUGCCGUGCUUGGGAUAGAUGUUUGCAAUUAUUCAUCUUCAACGAGGAUUGCCUUGUAGGCGCACGUCAUCAGCGUGCAUUGAAUACGACCCUGUAUUCUGUACACACCGCCCGUCGCUCCUACCGAUUGAAGUUUUCGGUGAGUUGACAGGAGGAUUUUUUUGAAACUGGUUCGCCAGUGGAUUUUAGAUCCAAAUGCCAACGAAUCGAUGGCUUUAGAGGAAGGAGAAGUCGUAACA